AGGGCUAGUUUUAUAGACAAAAGCGUAAAGGGUGUGAUCGGCCGUUUUAAUUAAAGUGGGUUUUAUAAUUUAAGAAGGUAAAUGGAAUUUUUUUGUAGCGGUGGAAUGUGUAAAUAAAAAAAAGAACUUUAGACGUGAAGGCUAUUUAUUUCUGAGAUUAUAGUGAGAUGGUUAAAACACGAGAGUAUGGGGAGCAAACAGGAUUAGAGACCCUGGUAGUCCAUACUGUAAAUAAUGAAGAGAAUGUGAAGCAAUCCUAAAAAGUAAGAAAUUUUCCGCUUGAGUAGUACGAUCGCAAGGUUAAAAGUCAAAAAACUUGGCUGUUCACUGUUUUAAUUAGAGGAGCGUGUCGUUUAAUUCGAUAGUCCGCGAGAGACCUCACCCAAACUUGAAUCCCCCAUUGACAGGUAUUGCA
rnacentral:rRNA from 1 species